rnacentral:rRNA from 1 species
GACGAGCUCUCCAAACGUUAUUCGGUAUCACUGGGCUUAAAGAGUUCGUAGGCGGUCUCGUAGGUGAGGUGUGAAAUCCCUCGGCUCAACCGAGGAAUUGCGCUUCAAACCGUGGGACUAGAGGGAGACAGAGGUAGGCGGAACAGAUGGUGGAGCGGUGAAAUGCGUUGAUAUCAUCUGGAACACCGGUGGCGAAAGCGGCCUACUGGGUCUCAUCUGACGCUGAGGAACGAAAGCUAGGGUAGCGAACGGG